rnacentral:rRNA from 3 species
ACAUGACUCUCGGCAAUGGAUAUCUCGGCUCUCGCAUCGAUGAAGAGCGCAGCGAAAUGCGAUAUGUGGUGCGAAUUGCAGAAUCCCGCGAACCAUCGAGUCUUUGAACGCAAGUUGCGCCCGAGGCCAACCGGCCAAGGGCACGUCCGCCUGGGCGUCAGUCA